UACGAUAGGUAAGGACUCCUGCCCUGUUGUA
rnacentral:piRNA from 1 species